rnacentral:rRNA from 1 species
GAUGAACGCUGGCGGCGUGCCUAAUACAUGCAAGUCGAGCGAACGGACGAGAAGCUUGCUUCUCUGAUGUUAGCGGCGGACGGGUGAGUAACACGUGGAUAACCUACCUAUAAGACUGGGAUAACUUCGGGAAACCGGAGCUAAUACCGGAUAAUAUUUUGAACCGCAUGGUUCAAAAGUGAAAGACGGUCUUGCUGUCACUUAUAGAUGGAUCCGCGCUGCAUUAGCUAGUUGGUAAGGUAACGGCUUACCAAGGCAACGAUGCAUAGCCGACCUGAGAGGGUGAACGGCCACACUGGAACUGAGCCACGGUCCAGGCUCCUACGGGAGGCCGCCGUAGGGAAUCUUCCGCAAUGGGCGAAAGCCUGACGGAGCAACGCCGCGUCAGUGAUGAAGGUCUUCGGAUCGUAAAACUCUGUUAUGAGGGAAGAACAUAUGUGUAAGUAACUGUGCAGAUCUUGACGGUACCUAAUCAGAAAGCCACGGCUAACUACGUG